rnacentral:rRNA from 1 species
GACGAACGCUGGCGGCGUGCUUAACACAUGCAAGUCGAACGGAAAGGCCCUGCUUUUGUGGGGUGCUCGAGUGGCGAACGGGUGAGUAACACGUGAGUAACCUGCCCUUGACUUUGGGAUAACUUCAGGAAACUGGGGCUAAUACCGGAUAGGAGCUCCUGCUGCAUGGUGGGGGUUGGAAAGUUUCGGCGGUUGGGGAUGGACUCGCGGCUUAUCAGCUUGUUGGUGGGGUAGUGGCUUACUAAGGCUUUGACGGGUAGCCGGCCUGAGAGGGUGACCGGCCACAAUGGGACUGAGAUACGGCCCAGACUCCUACGGGAGGCAGCAGUGGGGAAUAUUGCACAAUGGGCGGAAGCCUGAUGAAGCAACGCCGCGUGCGGGAUGACGGCCUUCGGGUUGUAAACCGCUUUCGCCUGUGACGAAGCGUGAGUGACGGUAAUGGGUAAAGAAGCACCGGCUAACUACGUG